UCCGUAGGUGAACCUGCGGAAGGAUCAUUAACAAAAACAUAAACUAAUAACUAACUGUCUGUUUACAGUGUGGCAACACACUGUAUUCAUAAACUUUUACAAGCCAACACCAUAAACUACUUUAAGGUUGAUAAAAUCUUAAAUUUUCAACGAUGGAUGUCUUGGCUCCCAUAUCGAUGAAGAACGCAGCGAAAUGCGAUAAGUAAUGUGAAUUGCAGAAUUCAGUGAAUCAUCGAAUCUUUGAACGCAUCUUGCGCUCCUUGGUAUUCCAUGGAGCAUGCCUGUUUGAGUGUCACGUAAACCCUCACCCUGGUGAUGUCAAACGUCGCCUGUGGUGGAUUUGGACCGUGCCGUAAUUGGCUCGUCCUGAAAUGCAUUAGCUUGCGCUUUUUAGAGUGCUCGGCAUGGUGUGAUAAUUAUCUGCGCCAUUGCCUUAGGCCUCUUCUGUGUGCGCUGCUUCCAAUUGUCCCUUGUGGACAACAUAUUUUAAGCUUUGGCCUCAAAUCAGGUAGGACUACCCGCUGAACUUAAGCAUAUCAAUAAGCGGAGGAAGUCGACUGCCAAGGGGCACACAGGGGGGGAUA
rnacentral:rRNA from 1 species